CAUUUUCGAGUGAUGCCUGAUCUCAUCAAUCUAGCGGGAGGGAAGGGAUAACCUGUCCGAGCCUAGCGCGACGCUAGGAUCACGCCGGAAAAUCCCCCAAAAAUCAUCAAAAAAAUUAACUUAGAGCAGAGGGCAGUCGGUGGGGCUUCGCCAGAUGCGGCGCAGUCGGUAAGAGCCUCAAGUAGCGAAGCGGGUCUCGAGAGGUGGCAGCGAUGGGACCGGAGGACCGUGAGGGGAGCAGGGACCGGACUCGGGGUCUGCCCUCACUUUCGCGGCAGAAGCUCCCCCAGGGGAUCCGGUUGCUAUUUUAACCAUUAGAAGAAUACCAGUUCUGGAAAACAACCAAAGUUUCUUUGAUUGAAUGCCCAUGUAAUGCAUUGGAAUAUGAUAGGCGAUUAAGGUUUAACAAUGUUAAAAUGAAGAUAUUACUAAAAUGGCCCUCUAAAUAGCCCAACAAUUAUUAUUUUCUUUUCAUUCUGCCGGCCAUACUUUUUCUCCCUACUCUGGACGCCUCUAGAUGACUCCAGCUGUGCUCUCCUUCGUAAUCUACACACCCUCCUCAACCAUACCCUGGACCAGUCAUGUCCUCAUCUCAGACACGACUUUUCUGGUGAGAAACUGAAUUCUUUCAAUGCAUGCUUCCUUAUACCAGAUUGCCUUGGUUUCUCUAUAGUCAAUUUGAAGGCUUAAAUUUGAAUUCUGUAAAUAAAGAUUCUGAAAAACUAGCAUACAAAUUCUUCAUUUAUGCAAAUUAAACUAUUGCUAAUAAACAUUUGUCUUCCCAAA
rnacentral:lncRNA from 1 species